GCGCCAAGGAAGAACAUCACAUAUAAUGACAAAGUGUAUAAGGAUAAAUGUCAUAAAUAUCAUAUAUGUAAUUAUUACAUAGCGAAAGUCUUACAAAAAUAAAUGGUAAUGAUAAAGUGAACUAAUUAUUAUUUCCCUAGCACCACAAAGUUGACUGGGAGACGCCACUUAGAUCAAGUCAAACUCCUCGUUGUGCGGCUCCUCUUCGACCACCUGCUCUUCACCUGUGCGGGGGUUUAUAUAUCGCAAGAGUGAGCUCACAAAAGAUCAUAGCUCAACAAAUUGUGGGGAAUAAUGUGCAUGAACUCGCCAAAGGUGGGAGUUCAUGUGAGGUGUAAGGCUGACCAAUAAAUAAAUGUUAAAGUUGAGCAUUGCUUUUAUAAGUUGGUCAAAAUUUUAUUAUCAGUUACUAAAUGUAAGUGAUUACCAAACCAUAGUAAUAGUAAAUAAUAAUAAUAAUAAUAAUAAUAAUAAUAAUAAUCCUAAUGCGAUGCAAAUGACAAAUUGAGUUUAAUUUCAUAAAUUAAUCAUGUGAGAGUCCAAGCUGCUCAUGACCGUGAGCACGGUUAGUAUACCAGUUUUACACUCUACAGAGGUUGCGCAUCUUUACCCACAACCCAUUUGCCACGGGGUUGAUCGGACCCCAUACACCUCUACCAUGGAAGCGAGGCAGGGUACCACUACGAGGCCUUUACAAAGUUCCACUAGCUUCAGAAAACUCGCUACAGUUUCUAGGAAGCUCCAAUGCAGGGAUCCCUCGCCUGACCGCCAUCACAGCAAAAUCAACUCAAGGGCCUCCCCACAAUUACCACUCCCCUACUGCCCUUGCCCCUAUCGGGUAAGGUAGUCCACCACUAGCUUUCCUAGUUAGUCAGCCAAGGGCGUCCCAUACCACCCUUGUGGUAGCACUGUUUUCCCGGGUGGUUCUCCAUGUUAUAAUUAACAUAACGAUCUUAUCAUAAACAGUAAAUAAUAAUCUGAUAAUAAAAGUGUAAUCAUGAAUAAUGUAUAUCUCCAUCCCCAAAACCACAUAAAGCAAUAACAUGUAUUACCCAAAAAUUCAGUGGUAAAACAAGGUAUAAAGAUUGCCAAACUGGGGUAACCCAUUGGGUCCCAUCAAAAUUAGCCUAUGCAGAUCACUAUGACUAAUAAGAACAUGUAUGGGUAAAAAGGAAGUGAUCAAGGGCACAACUUGCCUUCAACGAGCUCCUGCUCAGCAGUCUCCACCUACUGAACCCUGGAUCCUCUAUAGCUUGCUCGUCUACUCGCAACAAUACAAACACACAUGGUAUAGCAAAAUUAACAUCACGCCAAACAAUGGAAUAGAAUGUAUGAUAAUAUUCUACGCUACGUAUCGAGAUCGUAGGAACAAGAAUAACUAAAUUCGGAGUUACGGUUAUUAAGUUAUGAAUUUUUGAAGUCAUUUAGUACCUAGAUAGCAUAAUUCAUGUGAAUAAUUUUAGUUCAAGUUUCAUGGCUAAGCAGAGGUACUAAGUGAUAGACAAUAUUAAAACAAAAUUAAUGUCACUGGAAUGGAUCAAUUUGGAGUUAAAAUAAAUUAAAUAUGAAUUUCACACGUUUCUAGAAUUAUUUUUGUAUUAAAAAUCAAUUUCCAUAAUUAAUUAUCUAUUUUCAUUGUUCUCUGGACUGCGCAUCAAAUACCGAAUAGUGCACGGGCUAAUCUACAAAAAUUCCCUAGACUCAGAUUCCUACCGGAGAGGACUGUGGGUUGAUUUAACAAAAUCCGAGGGCUCGUAUAAAAGUAUGCGUUCACGAAGGGGUAUGGUGUGAUAUCGGCCGUCCGAUUGACGCGAUGGCACAGAUUAGAUCUGACUGCCCACGAAGUGGUACGCAACGCGGCCCGUCCGAUCUGUGAUCUACGGCGCGGAUUCAAUAAAUAUGGAAUCGCCCUGACUCGUCCGAUCGGAUCCUACGGUCGGGAUUUUGAACACGAAGAGGUAUGCUGCCACGACAUCCCAGCCGUACACCCCAGAAUCUACGGUUGAGGCGACCCUUCAUCCGAGAUCUAAUCUUAGACGCUUAUAACUGAUCCAAUGGCUGUCGAUCGAUUUCCCCAUAACCAAACAGGACCCGACAGCGCGGUGACCUUCCGCGGUGGCGCCAUGGCCAGAAUCACGGCACCAGGCGAUGCGACGCAAACCUCAAGUCUUCCUGGCGUUGUAUGAUCAAUGGGGUACAGUGAUUACUAAGGGUAAAAGCUACACGACGGUGGUGGUCGAAGUAAUGUCGGCCAUGGCGCGCGGUUGCCACGGAGCUCCGGUGAGCAAAUCCGGAGACCCAGCGAACCUAUUUUGGGCGCAACGUGGACAGCUACCAUCUAAAGGAGAUACCGGAGCUAGCGAAAGAGGCUUACCGGCAAGGAAAAGCAGAGGGGUGACUGGCCAUGGCAAAUUCCAAGUCCGAUCUCGGCGGCGCUGCUCUUCUUCUCACUCUCUCUCUCUCUCUCUCAGAUUUACGACGAGGCUAGGGUGUCCAGGAUUCGGGACGGGCGGACGGGUCCCCGGGCACUAAAUAAAGGCAUGGGUGGUGGCCGAUGGAUGGUUGACAAGUCGGUCGGCUUCGGGGAAGUAGUGGCGGUCGUUGCGCGUGCGAGUGAAGAAAGGGGGAAGUGGACGCCUGACAAGGUAGGGCCCACGCGUCAUGGAGGCAACGGAUCAUGCUGAUCGUGGGAGCAUGGACGGAUUCAAUGGCCAGUG
rnacentral:lncRNA from 1 species